rnacentral:rRNA from 1 species
UACGUAGGGGGCAAGCGUUAUCCGGAUUUACUGGGUGUAAAGGGAGCGUAGACGGCUAAUCAAGUCAGAAGUGAAAACCCAGGGCUCAACUUUGGGACUGCUUUUGAAACUGAGUAGCUAGAGUGCAGGAGAGGUAAGCGGAAUUCCUAGUGUAGCGGUGAAAUGCGUAGAUAUCACGCAGAACUCCGAUUGCGAAGGCAGCAUACCGGCGCCCUACUGACGCUGAGGCACGAAAGCGUGGGUAUCGAACAGG